ACUCGUUGCUAAUGCUUUAG
rnacentral:misc_RNA from 1 species